rnacentral:rRNA from 1 species
AUUGAACGCUGGCGGCAGGCUUAACACAUGCAAGUCGAGCGGGGGAAGGUAGCUUGCUACCGGACCUAGCGGCGGACGGGUGAGUAAUGCUUAGGAAUCUGCCUAUUAGUGGGGGACAACAUCUCGAAAGGGAUGCUAAUACCGCAUACGUCCUACGGGAGAAAGCAGGGGAUCUUCGGACCUUGCGCUAAUAGAUGAGCCUAAGUCGGAUUAGCUAGUGGGUGGGGUAAAGGCCUACCAAGGCGACGAUCUGUAGCGGGUCUGAGAGGAUGAUUCGACACACUGGGACUGAAACACGGCCCAGACUCGUACGGGAGGCAGCAGUGGGGAAUAUUGGACAAUGGGGGGAACCCUGAUCCAGCCAUGCCGCGUGUGUGAAGAAGGCCUUAUGGUUGUAAAGCACUUUAAGCGAGGAGGAGGCUACUUUAGUUAAUACCUAGAGAUAGUGGACGUUACUCGCAGAAUAAGCACCGGCUAACUCUGUGCCAGCCGCCGCGGUAA